AAAAAUUUUAAAAAUAUUUUAGGGUUCGUGAAAUGGGGGUCUUGGAGGGUGAGAGUGGCGGUUCAUCACCGUUUGUGUCAAUGGUGAAGAAGAAGCUUGGUGUUACAAAUCCAAUUUCAAUUGCUGGUCCGACUGAAUCUGAUAAGCUUAGAAUUGGAGAAGGGGAUUAGAGAGCUCAUACUACGGCAGAAUGGGUUAGUUCUCUGUAAUCAGCAAAACGCACACCAAGUGUUUGUGUAAAGGCCUGAACAAGGGUUCGUAUGGACAGCGGGAGUAUGUAGGGAUUUGGUUGAAUCCUGUACACCUUUAGAGGUACUCUUGUGACACAUCAGGAAUUUUUGGAGGCCAAGGUUAACGAAACCAAGGCAAUGGUUAAGUUUCAAUUAAAGACAAAUGAAGUUUUUUGGCUCAAUGCUGUGAAGAAAAAUGAAGUUUUGAUGGAGGAGAUCACAGAGCGUGACGAAGGUGCUCUCAAGUAUUUGAAAGAUAUCAAUUGGUGCAGGAUUGAAGAGCUC